rnacentral:rRNA from 1 species
AUUGAACGCUGGCGGUAUGCUUAAGACAUGCAAGUCGUGCGGUAGGGGCUUCGGCCCUGAGAGCGGCGGACGGGUGAGUAACGCGUGGGAAUCUGCCUGCUAGUGGGGGAUAGCCCGGAGAAAUCCGGAUUAAUACCGCAUACGUCCUAAGGGGAAAGCCGCAAGGCGCUAGUAGAUGAGCUCGCGUAAGAUUAGCUAGUUGGUGAGGUAAAGGCUCACCAAGGCGACGAUCUUUAGCUGGUCUGAGAGGAUGGCCAGCCACAUCGGGACUGAGACACGGCCCGGACUCCUACGGGAGGCAGCAGUCGGGAAUAUUGGACAAUGGGCGCAAGCCUGAUCCAGCAAUACCGCGUGUGUGAAGAAGGCCUGCGGGUUGUAAAGCACUUUCAGUUGGGAAGAUAAUGACGUUACCAACAGAAGAAGCACCGGCUAACUCCGUGCCAGCAGCCGCGGUUAAUGCACGACUGU